rnacentral:rRNA from 1 species
CGCGAUAAGUAUCCCGCCUGAGUAGUACGGCCGCAGGGUUGAAACUCAAAGGAAUUGACGGGGGCCCGCACAAGCGGUGGAACAUGUGGUUUAAUUCGAAGCAACGCGAAGAACCUUACCAGGGCUUGACAUCUGUGGAAUCUUUCGGAAACGAGAGAGUGCUCGCAAGAGAGCCACAAGACAGGUGGUGCACGGCUGUCGUCAGCUCGUGUCGUGAGAUGUUGGGUUAAGUCCCGCAACGAGCGCAACCCCCGUUGUUAGUUGCCAUCAGGUAAAGCUGGGCACUCUAGCGAGACUGCCGGUGACAAACCGNGAGGAAGGUGGGGACGACGUCAAGUCAUCAUGCCCUUUAUGCCCUGGGCUACACACGUGUUACAAUGGCCGGGACAAUGUGAUGCAAACUCGCGAGAGUGAGCGAAUCACCAAACCCGGUCUCAGUUCGGAUCGCAGGCUGCAACUCGCCUGCGUGAAGUCGGAAUCGCUAGUAACGCCGAUCAGCACGCGGCGUUGAAUACGUUCCCGGG